rnacentral:rRNA from 1 species
UAGGGGGCGUAGCAAUACGUCACCGGCGGACGGGUGCGUAACACGUGGGAAUAUACCUUUUGGUUCGGAACAACGCAGGGAAACUUGCGCUAAUACCGAAUGUGUCCUUACGGAGAAAGAUUUAUCGCCAAAGGAUUAGCCCGCGUUCGAUUAGCUAGUUGGUGAGGUAAUGGCUCACCAAGGCAACGAUCGAUAGCUGUUCUGAGAGGAAGAUCAGCCACACUGGGACUGAGACACGGCCCAGACUCCUACGGGAGGCAGCAGUUGGGAAUCUUGGACAAUGGGGGAAACCCUGAUCCAGCCAUGCCGCGUGAGUGAUGAAGGCCUUCGGGUUGUAAAGCUCUUUUACCCGGGAAGAUAAUGACUGUACCGGGAGAAUAAGCUCCGGCUAACUUCGUG